AAUCAACGCUGGCGGCGUGCCUAACACAUGCAAGUCGAACGCGAAAGCCCCUUCGGGGGGUAAGUAGAGUGGCGUCCGGGUGAGUAACACGUGGGUAAUCUGCCUUCGGGUGGGGAAUAACUCAGGGAAACUUGAGCUAAUACCGCAUAAUGCAGCGGCACCUAAUGGUGAUUAGUUGUUAAAGCGGGGGAUCGCAAGACCUCGCGCCUGAAGAGGAGCCUGCGGCAGAUUAGCAGUUGGUAAGGUAAUGGCUUACCAAGGCUUCGAUCUGUAGCUGGUCUGUUAGAGGACGGCCAGCCACACUGGCACUGACACACGGGCCAGACUCCUACGGGAGGCAGCAGUGGGGGAAUUUUGGGCAAUGGGCGAAAGCCUGACCCAGCAACGCCGCGUGAGGGAGGAAAUCCUUCGGGAUGUAAACCCUCACAAGCAAGGGAAGAGAGCUGCGGGCUG
rnacentral:rRNA from 1 species